rnacentral:rRNA from 1 species
GUAAGGAAUAUUGGUCAAUGGAGGCAACUCUGAACCAGCCAUGCCGCGUGCAGGAAGACGGCCCUCUGGGUUGUAAACUGCUUUUAUCUGGGAAUAAACCUGCUUACGUGUAAGUAGCUGAAUGUACCAGAAGAAUAAGGAUCGGCUAACUCCGUGCCAGCAGCGGCGGUAAUACGGAGGAUCCAAGCGUAAUCCGGAGUUAUUGGGGUUAAAGGGUGCAUAGGCGGACUGUUAAGUCAGGGGUGAAAGACGGUGGCUCAACCAUCGCAGUGGCCUUGAUACUGAUGGGCUUGAAUGGACUAGAGGUAGGCGGAAUGAGACAAGUAGCGGUGAAAUGCAUAGAUAUGUCUCAGAACACCGAUUGCGAAGGCAGCUUACUAUGGUCUUAUUGACGCUGAGGCACGAAAGCGUGGGGAUCGAACAGGAUUAGAAACCCCUGUAGUCC